rnacentral:rRNA from 1 species
UACGGGGGGAGCAAGCGUUGUUCGGAUUUACUGGGCGUAAAGGGCGCGUAGGCGGCCACCGCAAGUCGACUGUGAAAUCUCCGGGCUUAACCCGGAAAGGUCAGCCGAUACUGCGGGGCUAGAGUGCAGAAGGGGCAACUGGAAUUCUCGGUGUAGCGGUGAAAUGCGUAGAUAUCGAGAGGAACACCUGCGGCGAAGGCGGGUUGCUGGGCCAUCACUGACGCUGAGCUGCGAAAGCUAGGGGAGCAAACAGG